rnacentral:rRNA from 1 species
UACAGAGGUGGCAAGCGUUGCUCGGUAUCACCGGGCUUAAAGGGCGCGUAGGCGGUGCGGUACGGUUUCGGUGAAAUCCCUCGGCCCAACCGAGGAACAGCCGGGGCUACGGCCGCGCUUGACGGCAUCAGGGGACAGUUGAACUUCCGGUGGAGCGGUGAAAUGCGUAGAUAUCGGAAGGAACGCCGGUGGCGAAAGCGGGUCUCUGGGCCGAUACUGACGCUGAGGAGCGAAAGCGUGGGGAGCGAACAGG